AGUGAACGCUGGCGGUAGGCCUAACACAUGCAAGUCGAACGGCAGCACAGUAAGAGCUUGCUCUUACGGGUGGCGAGUGGCGGACGGGUGAGGAAUACAUCGGAAUCUACUUUUUCGUGGGGGAUAACGUAGGGAAACUUACGCUAAUACCGCAUACGACCUACGGGUGAAAGCAGGGGAUCUUCGGACCUUGCGCGAUUGAAUGAGCCGAUGUCGGAUUAGCUAGUUGGCGGGGUAAAGGCCCACCAAGGCGACGAUCCGUAGCUGGUCUGAGAGGAUGAUCAGCCACACUGGAACUGAGACACGCUCCAGACUCCUACGGGAGGCAGCAGUGGGGAAUAUUGGGCAAUGGGCGGAAGCCUGAUCCAGCCAUACCGCGUGGGUGAAGAAGGCCUUCGGGUUGUAAAGCCCUUUUGUUGGGAAAGAAAAGCAGCAGGUUAAUACCCCGCUGUUCUGACGGUACCCAAAGAAUAAGCACCGGCUAACUUCGUG
rnacentral:rRNA from 1 species